AUGGAGAAAUCGGUCAAUUCUUGCCGCUCCUACUCCUUGCGCUUCCCCUCUUGCUCUCGCCGGCAGCGCACGCGGCGGCGGCGGCGUGCCACCGAGACCUUUUUCCUGCUGCCAGCCUUCACGGGGAACCUCACCGUCGCUGGCAUUAUCCUCCCUGCGUUGUCCAGAGGAGAGUACUGUUGCGGCUGGGACGGCGUCUCAGUCGACAGGGCCGGCCGGGUCAUGGUGCUACCCCUCCCCAGGUGCGACCUCAGCUUCUCUGGUAGCUUCUCCCACUCUUCCUCGCGGCUCGCCGGGCAUUGUGAGUACAGGUCGAUACGGUGGCCAGGAUUUGGGGAAGAAGAUGGAGUGGCUGCUUUGAGAUUCGCGGACCCACGUGUCGAUGGAUGGAAUGGGUCGUUCCGUUCGCUCCGUAUGACCCGGUCAUAUAGGAUUUUCACAGAGAUCAAGAGGCUAAUGCGGUGGCUAAAUCCAGAUAAGUGGAGGACCAUCCCGAUGGAAAGAGGGAAUUGGACUGUGUAUGAGUCCAUGGCGUAG
rnacentral:rRNA from 1 species